AGAACAUGCAACACCUGGGAACCUCCUACUCUCCCCCCUCCUCUACCCACAUCUUUGCCAUUCACGCACCAACAACGGAUGGUGUCUGUCUUUCUGAGGACUGCCAGCCACCAGCUGCCUGCCCCAACACUGCACGCUGUCCAAGCUGAAGGAGAGAUGGCGACCAGACAGAACAGAGAUGCAGAGCUUGUACCGAGUCCUGGCCCUGCCCUUCAUUCCCUGGGCGAUCAGUUCCAGCUGGGCAAUCUCUCAGCAAAGACAACGGAAAAGACAGCAAACAGGAUAAAACCUGGUCUCACGUGGUCAAGAGUCCACAAUUAGUUAAGAAAGGAAAAGUCUCAUAUAUGAAAAUUCAGAGAACAGUGAAGAACAGACCAUCAGUGCAACAAACCUACCGACAAGAAGGAGACGAAAGCUGUCUAACUGGGCCAGAAGAUUGUUCUAACUUUUCCUUCAAUCAAAAUUCAGAAGGCACAAAAAGAUGACCACCACCCCUCCACCCCAUCAGUCUCCAGCUCCAGAGGCACCCAGUUUUAUCUCUUGGGACUUUAUUUUAUGCAUGUGCAAGAAAAUGUUGAUAUAUUCCUUUCCUCCCUUUUGUACAUAAAUAGCCAUGUACUCCAUACCGUAUUUUUAUUUUCUCUGCAUUCUUAAUGAUAUAACUUAGUGUUAAUUUUAUAUGCGGACAUAGAGAGUCUCCUCAUUCUGUUCUGUGGCUUCACAGGAUCCCCUUGAGUGGAUGUAGCCCAAUUUAUAGAACCACACUCCCAAUGACGGACGUUUAGUUCAUCUCCACUCUUUCCCUAUUACAAAUAAAAUUGUAGUAAAUAGCCUCACCCAUAGAUUACUUCAUGUAUCUGCUGAAAUAUCUAUAGGAUAAAUUCCUAUAAAUCUAAUUACUGAGUCAAAAGUCAUGUGCAUUUACAGUUUUGAGAGAUACUGCCUUCCUAGCUCUUUAUAUGUAUGUGUGUGUGAUAUAUACCUCUAUCUAUAUAGAGAGACAGAUAUCGUACACCCAAUUUCCCUAUACCCUUGCCAACACGGAGCGCUAACAUUUCGCUCUUUGCCAAUACGGUUGGUAAAAAGUGGCAUUUUGGUAUUGUUGAAAGACCGAGGUCAAGGUAUUUCUUUUCCAUUUCUCUCUUGUUUCAAUGACUUAUGUCUUUCAGUGACAGUGGCAACAUCCUUCUACGAUGACAGCCUCCUUUGGAUGACCCACCCUUCCAUGCUCCAGCUCUGACUGAGCACCAGUGAUGCCGUCUUGUCUCUGUGUCUGCCUUCACUCCAAGGGUUGGCCAGGGCCUCCUGCUCUUGCUGGUCUCUCUGCGUGUCACACCAUCGCUUGUUUGUCCCCUAAAUCCUGCCCUCUCCUCUGUAAAUUGCUCAUUUGGGGAGAGAAAGCAUUUGGGGAGAAAUCUGUCUACUGCUGUUUUGUUUUGCUGAGAUACAAACAAAUCUAUCUCUUGCCCAUUUUAA